rnacentral:rRNA from 1 species
CAUUCGGGUGGCGGACGGGUGAGUAACGCGUGGGUAACCUGCCUUACACAGGGGGAUAACACCUGGAAACAGGUGCUAAUACCGCAUAAGCGCACAGGGCCGCAUGGCCCGGUGUGAAAAACUCCGGUGGUGUAAGAUGGACCCGCGUCUGAUUAGCUUGUUGGCGGGGUAGGGGCCCACCAAGGCGACGAUCAGUAGCCGGCCUGAGAGGGUGGACGGCCACAUUGGGACUGAGACACGGCCCAAACUCCUACGGAAGGCAGCAG